GUAGGUGGCAAGCGUUGUCCGGAAUUAUUGGGCGUAAAGCGCGCGCAGGCGGUUCUUUAAGUCUGAUGUGAAAGCUCACGGCUCAACCGUGGAGGGUCAUUGGAAACUGGAGAACUUGAGUACAGAAGAGGAAAGCGGAAUUCCACGUGUAGCGGUGAAAUGCGUAGAGAUGUGGAGGAACACCAGUGGCGAAGGCGGCUUUCUGGUCUGUAACUGACGCUGAGGCGCGAAAGCGUGGGGGGAGCAAACAGGAUUAGAUACCCUGGUAGUCCACGCCGUAAACGAUGAGUGCUAAGUGUUAGGGGGUUUCCGCCCCCCCCUUAGUGCUGCAGCUAACGCAUUAAGCACUCCCGCCUGGGGAGUACGGCCGCAAGGCUG
rnacentral:rRNA from 1 species